GGAAAAGGCUUCGACAAACUUUCAAGACGUUUUGGAAUGCUUGUCCAAGUUAUUAGGUCCGCAGCUUGCGUUUGAAAGCGGCACUGAAAAGUUGCGCUUUGGAAAUCGGCGAAUUUGGAACAGUUUGCAGCUUUGAACGUAGAUUCACGAGAGUCGCCAGGAACGGAGGGAAGAGGAAGCGAACGCAGGAGAGAGAGAGAGAGAGAGAGAGAGAGAGGGAGAGAGAGACACGCACCGAGGAGCCGACGUUUCAAGAACCCUGACAACUGUUGCAAGUUCCUGGAGUGGGAUCCGUGCGGCAGCCGAAUGGAACCUCCUUUGGAACCGGACCAUCGCCCUCCGCCCAUCCUUGCACCAUCCCCGUUUGAGUCCGUGGUGGAAGCAGCUGGGCGGGGCGCCCUCUCCUGUCGCAGCUGCCUUCUGUGCCUGGCCCUCUUAGCCCUCCUGUCUGGGGCACCUUCCCUGGCGCUGGGACUGUCUCACCACCCGUGGCCUUCGACCCUCGCUACCAUCGGCGUCGCCCUCCUCACCAUCGCCUUCCUGGCUCUCCUGGCCGGCUGCGCCCCUCGCCCCGCAGCCGCCCGCCGACGCCAGAUGAGUCUCGUCUCCCUGGUGGAGCGGGAGCGGGGGCAGUGAAUGAGGUGGGAUGGGUGAGGGAGCGCCCCGGCGAAGAGAGGGGAAUGUCUGUGCGGUCUACAAGGUGACGAAUGGACCAGUUUCAUGCGUAGUUAAAG